UACUUCAUUGCUAAAGGUCGUGUCCCUG
rnacentral:sRNA from 1 species